rnacentral:rRNA from 1 species
AUUGAACGCUGGCGGCAUGCUUUACACAUGCAAGUCGAGCGGCAGCGCGGGGGCAACCCUGGCGGCGAGCGGCGAACGGGUGAGUAAUACAUCGGAACGUGUCCAGUAGUGGGGGAUAACCAGUCGAAAGAUUGACUAAUACCGCAUACGAUCUACGGAUGAAAGCGGGGGACCGCAAGGCCUCGCGCUAUUGGAGCGGCCGAUGUCGGAUUAGCUAGUUGGCGGGGUAAAAGCCCACCAAGGCGACGAUCCGUAGCUGGUCUGAGAGGAUGAUCAGCCACACUGGAACUGAGAUACGGUCCAGACUCCUACGGGAGGCAGCAGUGGGGAAUAUUGGACAAUGGGCGCAAGCCUGAUCCAGCCAUGCCGCGUGAGUGAAGAAGGCCUUCGGGUUGUAAAGCUCUUUCGGCGGGGACGAAACGGUCCGGG